rnacentral:rRNA from 1 species
CCUACGGGGGGCUGCAGUGAGGAAUAUUGGUCAAUGGACGAGAGUCUGAACCAGCCAAGUAGCGUGAAGGAUGACUGCCCUAUGGGUUGUAAACUUCUUUUAUAUGGGAAUAAAAUGUUCCACGUGUGGGAUUUUGUAUGUACCAUAUGAAUAAGGAUCGGCUAACUCCGUGCCAGCAGCCGCGGUACUACGGAGGAUCCGAGCGUUAUCCGGAUUUAUUGGGUUUAAAGGGAGCGUAGGUGGAUUGUUAAGUCAGUUGUGAAAGUUUGCGGCGCAACCGUGAAAUUGCAGUUGAAACUGGCAGUCUAGAGUACAGUAGAGGUGGGCGGAAUUCGUGGUGUAGCGGUGAAAUGCUUAGAUAUCACGAAGAACACCGAUUGCGAAGGCAGCUCACUGGACUGCAACUGACACGGAGGCUCGAAAGUGUGGGUAUCAAACAGGAUUAGAUACCCCGGUAGUC